CCUACGGGUGGCAGCAGUGAGGAAUAUUGGUCAAUGGACGAGAGUCUGAACCAGCCAAGCAGCGUGAAGGAUGACUGCCCUAUGGGUUGUAAACUUCUUUUAUAUGGGAAUAAAAUGUUCCACGUGUGGGAUUUUGUAUGUACCAUAUGAAUAAGGAUCGGCUAACUCCGUGCCAGCAGCCGCGGUAAUACGGAGGAUCCGAGCGUUAUCCGGAUUUAUUGGGUUUAAAGGGAGCGUAGGUGGAUUGUUAAGUCAGUUGUGAAAGUUUGCGGCUCAACCGUAAAAUUGCAGUUGAAACUGGCAGUCUUGAGUACAGUAGAGGUGGGCGGAAUUCGUGGUGUAGCGGUGAAAUGCUUAGAUAUCACGAAGAACUCCGAUUGCGAAGGCAGUUCACUGGACUGCAACUGACGCUGAGGCUCGAAAGUGUGGGUAUCAAACAGGAUUAGAUACCCCAGUAGUC
rnacentral:rRNA from 1 species